rnacentral:rRNA from 1 species
UACGUAGGGUGCAAGCGUUGUCCGGAUUUAUUGGGCGUAAAGAGCGUGUAGGCGGCCAUACAGGUCAGCUGUGAAAACUCGAGGCUCAACCUCGAGACGUCGGUUGAAACCGUAUGGCUAGAGUCCGGAAGAGGAGAGUGGAAUUCCCGGUGUAGCGGUGAAAUGCGCAGAUAUCGGGAAGAACACCUAUGGCGAAGGCAGCUCUCUGGGACGGUACUGACGCUGAGACGCGAAAGCGUGGGGAGCAAACAGG